AUGGAUGUGAGGAUUAUUUCCCCAUAUGAUCGAAGUUGAUUAUACUGUGCUACUAUUUUUCUCCCUCGUGGAGAAUCCAAGCCAGUAAUCUGAUCCAU
rnacentral:snoRNA from 1 species